AUCAAAAGAAAUAAAAAGGAUAGCAUAUUGUAAAUUAAUCUUUUUCAACCAAUUUCCUCAAUAUAUUCAACAUUUUUAACAUAUUCUGUAACAUAAUUCGGUUGGUGUUGCAUUAAAUGUUCUAAAAUUCUGAAACCAUAAAGAUUUUAGACAUGAUUUAAACAAACCAAAUAUGACUUUAGUAUUCUAGGUAGCUCAUUUACCUAUAAAAAGCAAUCUUUUCAGUGGUGUCAUUUGUAAAAUGAACUUCAUGGUCCAUUUAAAUUUGGUAAGGAUAGAUGGGUUGGGUUAAUUGGAGGGUAAAAUAAUUUUCAGAAAACCACAUUGUGGUCGAAUAUAUGCAUAAUUUCACACCUGUUCUUGACUCUAUCUUGUGGAAGCAAUUUAAACAAGGCUUAGGGAAAAAUGUGUUUUAGAAGUUAUAACAUCCUAACUUUCUGCUACAGUUUAUCACUGUAAAAAUCAUUUCUAUAAUUGUGCAGUCUUGCUUGCAUUACUUGUUAAUUAGCUUUAAUUAUACUUUCAGCCAAUUACUCAAAAUCUGACCUUUUCUAACAAAAGUCAGGCAAGAAGAAUGUAGGUGAGGCGCAGGAACUAAACCGUAUGUAAUAAACAAAUUGGUGAUAGUGAUUUUUUACUUUUUGCUUACCUACUCAAUGCACGGGCGACCCAUUACCAGUCACAUUUUCUCUUCUCCAUUUUCAUGAAAUCCAUUGCAUUUCCCACAGAAUCCUCUAACAAACUAGAAUAUAAAAAUGGUAUCUAACCUUUACAGAGUGAGCAGCUUAAAUGGACUUUUGAUGAUCUGGAAUGAAUUUAGUUGAUAGCUGUCAUGAAAUCGAGUCUUAAUUUAUUACCAUAUAUUUGAAAAAACAUAUCCUAUAAACAAAACUUUGAGUUAUAUUAUCUGUAAGGAAAUGGGAAAUGUAUCACUUAUUUAAUUAUAAUCUGCUAUUGCUAUUCUUUUCCAGAAAAAAAUUUUACCAGCUACAUCACUUUCUAAGACACUGCUUUACUGAUACAACACCCAAGAUUCUAAGCUGACAUCAAAGCGAAGAAAAAAAAAUCAUCUGAAAUGACAGCAGCAGCUGCAGCAUCCGCCUCUAAAUUAGGCUGUGUUUCAAAGUCUGGACUCAACUGCUAAGCAGUAUAAAGACCCAGGAGGAAGGCUGCCCAGAAAAGGCUGAGCCUUCCGACCUAACACAUCAAAGUAACACAUGCGAGGAACAGCAAUAAACGCAUGUGGCCCACAUUGCCGAGCUGCCUA
rnacentral:lncRNA from 1 species